AUGAGUUCAACAAGCAGAGCAUGGGCAGCAGCAGGCAGUGUUGCAGUCGUGGAAGCUUUGAAGGAUCAAGGUAUAUGUAGAUGGAAUCAUACACUAAAGUCACUUCAAAAUCAUCUCAAAAACAAUGUCAGAUCGUAUUCUCAAGCAAAGAAACUUUUAUCCUCCACUUGCUGCGCUUCUUCUAGUGUUGUCUCCACGGAAAGACAAAAAGAGAAAGCAAAGCAAUCAGAGGAAUCUUUAAGAACAGUCAUGUACCUGAGUUGUUGGGGUCCUAAUUAA